UUUCAUGCUGUAAGAUCCACCCUUAGCACUUUGUCAGCUACCUGCUUGGAAAUGAUAGAUGAAAGUCUAUCAGAAGUCAAGGCCCUGGUCCUGAAAAUGUUUCCUGAUCCAUUGAAACUUCUGAGUUACUGCUUGACAUGCUACAGUGCCCACCUGCAUCUCUGCUGUCAUGGCAGGUCAAGACUCCUGAGACUGUGAGGACAUAAACAGGCUGCACAGCAUUAGUGAGGAUGAACAAGACAUAGGUUCAAAACCAGAAUGCAGACAAGCAUAAAGAAUAUGAUAAGCAUAGACUGAAACAGUGAAGCUGGUCCUUAAUCAUCCCAUGAAAAACAGAAGAGACUGAGAUGGUCGUCUACAUUUUUAAUACUUUAGAGGUAUCACUGUCUAUCUGUUCUUACAUAAAGCAGAAAAACCCUAAACCAACAAACAAAAUAUUACUAGUCAUUAAAAUUAAUUAAAACCAUUCAGAUCAGGUCUGCCAUAGAAUGCAACAACUUCAGUUAGACUUGGCUAGACAGAAAUUGGAAGAAUUGUUUAGUCUUUUUUGCAGAAACUUCUGUGUCUUCUUGCUGUUUUUUUCCUUCUUUUUUUUUUUGUUAUUGUUUUGGAUUUUUUGUUUGCAUGUGCACACAGUCAACCUAUGUCUGUAAAAAAUUUAAUAAUUACUGCCUAAAAAGGUAACAAAGAAUCCUAAUUCAAAGUCAGAUCUUCUUUUCUUCACUGAAACAAAGUUACCAAGCAUCAGAAUGAUUCAAUCAUACCUGUUUGCUCUUUCUUGCUGUUAUAAUAAGUGUUUAACUCAUAAAACAUUUUUAAACAAUAAAG